GCUCUGGUGGCUCACUGGUUAAAGCGCUUGACUGCUAACCAAAAGGUCAGUGGUUCAAAACCACCAGCAGCU
rnacentral:tRNA from 1 species